CAAGUUGGCCGGGCGAUCGCGUCUGGGCGCGUACGCGCGGCUCAGCCGAGGAAAGUCCGCGCUCCGCAGAGCACGGCGCCGGGUAACGCCCGGCACGCGGUGACGUGUGGGAACAGGGCCACAGAGAAGCGCAGUGCCGCCGCGAGGCGGCGAGGGUGAAACGGCGCGGCAAGAGCGCACCGGCGUUCGCAGUAAUGCGGGCGGCCAGGUAUCCCCCGCCGGGAGCAAGGCCAAGCAGAGUCGAGCUGCGGCUCGCAGCGUUUGAGACUCGGGUAGGCUGCUACGGACCCCAGCAGCAAUGUGUGGGGCGAGAGAGAUGAUCGCCUAAAACAGAACGCGGCUUACGGGCCGACUUGGACA
rnacentral:RNase_P_RNA from 2 species